rnacentral:rRNA from 1 species
UGAGGAAUAUUGGUCAAUGGGCGCAAGCCUGAACCAGCCAUGCCGCGUGCAGGAUGACGGUCCUAUGGAUUGUAAACUGCUUUUGUACGGGAAGAAACACUCCUUCGUGAAGGAGCUUGACGGUACCGUAAGAAUAAGGAUCGGCUAACUCCGUGCCAGCAGCCGCGGUAAUACGGAGGAUCCAAGCGUUAUCCGGAAUCAUUGGGUUUAAAGGGUCCGUAGGCGGUCUUGUAAGUCAGUGGUGAAAGCCCAUCGCUCAACGGUGGAACGGCCAUUGAUACUGCAGGACUUGAAUUAUUGGGAAGUAACUAGAAUAUGUAGUGUAGCGGUGAAAUGCUUAGAGAUUACAUGGAAUACCAAUUGCGAAGGCAGGUUACUACCAAUUGAUUGACGCUGAUGGACGAAAGCGUGGGUAGCGAACAGG